rnacentral:lncRNA from 1 species
GUGACUGACACAGGCAGCACCCUUUUGCAGAAGUAGAUGUGCGUUGCUGAGAAAUUUUCUGCCUAAGUUCUGGUUUUCUUUGCAGCACCCAGCAUUUGUUUCUAACACAGGGAAAGAGUGAGCUGGAGAAACCUCUCAAAUUCAAGAAAGCGUAAAGCAAAUUGAACAAUACGGGUGAGGAGCACGGACUAUUCUCUCAUGUUGAAUGUGGCACUUUUUACAUACAAGCAGGAGAGCAACUACACCAAGAUUUUGGAAAACAUGUUAUGUAAGUUUUUAUUUUUA